rnacentral:lncRNA from 1 species
GUCAGUUUCUGAAAAUCUUCUACUAGAUGAAUGCAUGGCUUUCAUUCAAAGUUCAUUCAAGAUUAAUCUAACAGAGAUUAAUUUGCUGCCUAAAUGCCUGAAAGUAAACCACUAACGAUUACUCGUCAGUCAAAAAUUUACAUUUACCCUGCCCAUAUCAGAGCUUCAUCCUUCUCAAUUAAUAUUACACAGUGAAUCACACAGUUUCACAGUAAACUCUCUUCCUCUGAAUUUACAAAGCACUGAUAUGAUCUGGUCAUACUAUUCUUUAUUGGCUGGUGCAAUCAUGGAAGCUGAACAAGCCAGGCAGGAAUCAGAGGUACAUUGGUCUGUCUCAAAUGAAAGACACAAUGGAAAUGGAAUAUGACUAUAUUCCAGGGUUUUGAUGCAAGAAAAAAAGGUACCUAAGUUCUCCUGUCUCUAUUUCAUUCUUCUUUUUUGCUCUUGCUCUCAUUCUUAUUUUUUUCUCCUUUCAAGAGCUGCAAUUUUAGUGUUAUAAUAAGAUUUGGGAAUGAGAGUGACCCCAGAUUAGAAGGUACUUUCUUUGGUUUUGGGUAACAAAAGGACAAGAAAUAAAUCAGGGUGAGAGAAACAUUUCUUGCCUUUCUAGUAAAGAAGGGAGCUCCUCAGGUGUUCAACCUACCUCACCAUGGGGAAGAAUAGGCAGGAAUUCAAGGAAGAAGCAUUGCUGAAGAAUACAGAGUGUAUUCGUACUUGAAGAGUGGCAUCUGAGUAUUCACUUAUUUUUAAAUUCAUUUUUAUACUUCAGUAUGUUAAUAGGGGGUGGGCCUUAGUGUAGAUCUGUCAUUCUCAAUUCAGAAAGUAUAUGGAGAUUUUAAGAGCUACAAAUACUAUGUAUUUUAGUUCAGUUUUAGUUGGUCAGGGCUCCCACCCACCUAGUCAUUGUCCUCUUUAAGGUGCUCUCCAUGUAAUUCUUAUAUGCAGCCAAAAGUCAAACCCACUCACCCAGAGACAGCUAAAGAAACACUUCUGGUACUCAAUUUCUACAUUAGAUUGAUCAAUCCUGAAUAAAUUUUCAGAGUUUAGUUUUAAAUCUAGAAACUGUAUACUCGGUGUUAAUUUCUAGACCGGUUCUCUGAGAUAUAUUUUGCAAUGUUAGUUUAGUAGUGUUUUCUGCAAUGUCACCCUUUAGGGAUUGUGAGUUUCAGAUUCAGGGGACUGAGCUUAUGGCACUCCAAAGCAAAGCGGUGACUGGAGGAUGCUGAUCUGAGAAAUUCAACUUUUAGGAGCAGCCCUGAAUUGCACACGACCAAGGAGUGAUUCAGUUGGGGUGUCAGUGUCACAGAGCGUGAUGACGGCAUGGUACAGGGAGGGCAAUCACUGACUACAAGAUCCCGUGAAACUGAAAGAGUGAAUGAAGGGAAAAGAGGGUUUUGAGAGGUGAUGGAGCUUGUGAUCUUAGAUCUGAAUUGGUAUCUAAACACUUAUAUUCAGUCAUAGUUCAGCAAGAAGAUUUUUCUUAUAAUUUUCUUUAGCCAGGAAUCACGCUCAAAGGCAGACAACUCAUUUCCUCUGGUGAGUCAACGCAAAUAAUUUUAUUUGAUUAGAAGUCUGAAGAUGUGGAAAUUAACUGGAAUAUGUGAUAUCAGUAACAAAAAGUCAGAAAAAAAGGAGCAUCACUGUAUUUAACAUUGUUCUAUUUAAUCUUAACUGGAACGCUCUGUGAUACUCAGAAAACAUACAAAUGAAUCGAUAUGGAGAAUAGGGAUUUUUCAAGUUAUUUACUCUGGGAUUAAGGCAAUGCCUGACAAGAGAUAUACUACCCUUUUCACAUGGUGCUGUAGAAUCUCAUUGGAAAUUUCUGCUUCGUGAAUAGGAAACUAUAUAGCAUUAUUAUUGAUAUUCUUUAUGUUGUCAAAAUCAGGACUCAGUUAAUGGCGUAGCAGGCCAAACCCGGAGACUAGGAUGCUUUGCAGAAGAACGAGCAAUGUUCAAACUGUGGGCAGUGACCCUACAGAAGGUGAAAACAAUCUGAGACUCCAGAGUAACCAGGAGAUAGCAAAUUUAGAUGUGGUUGGUCAGUGUUAGGUGAUUUAGAGAAAGGAAGCUACCCUCUCGAGAGAAUGUCGGAGGAUUUGUUUAGCAACAUGUAGCUUUUAGAGCUAAAGUAGUUUUAUCAUGGAACACAAAAAUAGGACACUUCUUCUGGGACAGAGAUAAAAGUGAGAGUGUACUCACAGAGUAAACACAAGUCAAAAAUUGGGGUAGAAG